rnacentral:rRNA from 1 species
CAAAAGCGUAUAUUAAAGUUGUUGCAGUUAAAAAGCUCGUAGUUGAACCUUGGGCUUGGCUGGCCGGUCCAUCUUUUUUGAUGCGUACUGGACCCAGCCGAGCCUUUCCUUCUGGCUAGCCUUUUUGGCGAACCAGGACUUUUACUUUGAAAAAAUUAGAGUGUUCAAAGCAGACCUUUGCUCGAAUAUAUUAGCAUGGAAUAAUAGAAUAGGACGUUAUGGUUCUAUUUUGUUGGUUUCUAGGACCAUCGUAAUGAUUAAUAGGGACGGUCGGGGGUAUCAGUAUUCAGUAGUCAGAGGUGAAAUUCUUGGAUUUACUGAAGACUAACUACUGCGAAAGCAUUUACCAAGGACGUUUUCAUUAA